GCACGACCUGACCUGAAGUAUCAGCAGGCGGUGAAUUCACCCUUUGGUUGAGCCCUCCGCUGAAGUCUCUCCAGCCUCUCCUGCAGCAUCUGAGCGCAGCCUGACAAAUCCAUGUCACGCAAGGCGGAGAAGAUGUCAUCGAGCUGGUGGUCUGCCACCGAGAGCAUUCUCAAAAACUCCUUCCAGCGACGCAGCGGGACCUCGUUAAUGAUCGCGUACAGGACGAUGGGGGGCCAGUGCCUGCUAGGUUCCUCUUGUUCGCCAUCUUGGGAGAAGGCAAGCAACGGUUAACCGAUAAAAUGAGAUGUUGGGAAAGUUCAGCUUUGACAUUCAGUUUGUGUAGCUUUCCACUUACGGUCAGUGGAGCCUCCGAAAUCAAAUGGCUAAAAACUAUUAUUGAGUUUAAAAAAAAUAUCGCAAGAAGUGUGGUUUGUCUUUGUGUGUGAGAUUUGUGAGAGUUUGUAGUGAUUAAGCAAUAAAAGUAUUAACGACAAGGUUGGCUGUUUAGCAUAAUAAAGGGAUGGCUAAUUAACUGAUUGUAAUUGAAGUACUGAACAGCAUGAAUGGUGUUUUUUCCGGCUGCCAUAGUCAAAACAUGACCUCACUGCUUUCACUGUAAACAUUGUCGCAAAUGGAAUGAGG